rnacentral:rRNA from 1 species
UACGUAGGGUGCAAGCGUUGUCCGGAAUUAUUGGGCGUAAAGAGCUCGUAGGCGGUUUGUCGCGUCUGCUGUGAAAACUCGGGGCUUAACUCCGGGCCUGCAGUGGGUACGGGCAGACUAGAGUGCGGUAGGGGAGACUGGAAUUCCUGGUGUAGCGGUGAAAUGCGCAGAUAUCAGGAGGAACACCGGUGGCGAAGGCGGUUCUCUGGGCAUGUCCUGACGCUGAGGAGCGAAAGUGUGGGGAGCGAACAGG